rnacentral:lncRNA from 1 species
UCCCUUGCGCGCGGCUCCAGGUUCCCAGUGCCGAGUCUAGGGCGGUGGGUACGGGGGCCACGCCCUACUGCGCAGAGGCUGGACACACCCCAAGGCUGCACGGCACCCCAGAAGGCCCCUCCCAAGUCACGCGGGUCUCAGAUGCCCCGCAAACGCACCGAAGCGGGUGCAUAACGUGAACCCGAGAUGCACCCCAGCACGGGGUGUCCGUACGGGGCACGGCGCCCAGUGAGUCAGGCAGAGUGGGUGUCACCGCCGGAGUGAGUCACCAAGAGGGUGUGCGCCCCUCGUGGGCGGUGCCAGGAGCCUGGGGAGCGGGCUGCGCCCGCCCCAGGAAGGCCACGCCCCAGUUGGGGACUAGGCAGAUUCCCCCCACUUCCUUCCGCGAAGCUUCCUUCUGCGAUCCAGAGAGGCUGUUGAGGGCCGGGGAGGGGCGCGUGAUGCGCCCCAGUCCGCGGCCGAGGGGCUUCCCGGGAAGGGCGGGUGCGCCGGGAACGCUGGCGGCCGGGUCCGGAAGGGCCGCGCGGCUGCCGCGCCCCCGCCCCGCAGCCUCAGUUUCCGAUGACGCGUCUGCAGAAACCCCGACGCGGCCCCCAGGCUCCGCUGCCCGGUUUCACUUCCCCUCCCCCUGCCCGGCGUGAGGCGCGGGGCUCAGUCUGCCUCGGAUUCCAACGGGGGUGGGCACGGGGGCGCUUCCGGCCGUGGGGCUGGGUCGACGAAGGGGUUACGACGGGGCGGCCCGCCCCCGCCCAGGCCCCUCCUCUCCACGCCUGCGCCGGCACCGGGGGUGGGGCCGCGCGGUACCCGGCCGCCCCGAGAUCGACCCCCUCCCCCGCGAGGGGCGGGAUUAGGUUCAGGCCACGGUGGGGGCCGAGCGGGCCGCGACAACCCCCACUCCGCAGCCUGGGCGCGCGGUCCGCGGGGCCCGGAGGCGGCGCUAGCUCGGGAAGGAGGGGGUCGAGCGGCAGGAAGUGCGCUCUCCCACCGCGUCCUGAGCACAGUGACCCCCUCCCGUCCGACGCGCGGGGGAGAAUUGGGAUGGCGGGAGAGAGAGGGGUACCCUGGGGAGGAGGCGCCUCGCGGGCACGUUGCGCUGGAGCGAGCCCUCGCUCAGGGGGAUGGGGCAGGAAGGAAGAGGCCUUGGGCAGCUGGCGUGUGCCCCAGUGA